UAUCCUUCUGGCAAGGGUACUGUACUAAACUAACUAAAGUGGGGGAUAGUGAGGGGAUAAAUUUUCUUAAGGAACUCGGCAAAAUCCCAAUGGCCCACCAGGGCAUAUUGGAACACGGGCCUCGACUGUUUACCAAAAACAUAGCCCUCGGCUAAUAUGAAAAUAGAUGUAUAGAGGGUGAUGCCUGCCCAAUGGUUGUAUCUAAAAGCGGUUGAUAAAAGUCGACCUCGUAAGGACAAUUGAAUGGCCGCGGUAACACUGACCGUGAUAAUGUAGCGUAAUCAAUAGCCAAUUAAUUGUUGGCCAGUAUGAAUGGCGCCACGAAGGCCCCACUGUCUUAAGGAAAUUCCCAGUGAAAUUGAAUUCGUAGUGAAGAUGCUACGUGCAAUUUGUUAGACGAAAAGACCCCGUUGAGCUUUACUGGAGCACUUACAUGGCCCUGGCCUUCCCAUGCUUGGGAAUCGGCCGAAUUUAAAUGGGCGGCUUAGAUUAUGUGGCAGCCCCCCGCUGGGGCAAAUGAAACCCCACUCCCCCAUGUCAAAGGGGCUAACCCCCCCCCUUGGGGGGACAGUGUAAGUAGGACAGUUUGGUUGGGGCGACCGCCUUUUAAAGAGUAAYGAAGGUGCGCUUAAGGUGCGCAAUUAAUGACUGAAGCCUGAYUGCGAGGGGGWCACCCCGAGCAGACACCCCAAAGCCCGCCCGAAGGGCGGCGGUGGGGUGGGCCAUAGUGACCCGUUAAUUUAGAGUGGAAUAGUUAACGAUCAACGAAUAAAAGUUACCACGGGGAUAACAGCGUAAUAUCGUUAGAGAGUUCACAUCGACGACGAUGUUUGCGAC
rnacentral:rRNA from 1 species